rnacentral:rRNA from 1 species
UACAGAGGUGGCAAGCGUUGUUCGGAAUUAUUGGGCGUAAAGGGCUCGUAGGCGGCCAACUAAGUCAGACGUGAAAUCCCCAGGCUCAACCUGGGAACUGCGUCUGAUACUGGAUGGCUUGAAUCCGGGAGAGGGAUGCAGAAUUCCAGGUGUAGCGGUGAAAUGCGUAGAUAUCUGGAGGAAUACCGGUGGCGAAGGCGGCAUCCUGGACCGGCAUUGACGCUGAGGAGCGAAAGCCAGGGGAGCAAACGGG